UACGGAGGGAGCUAGCGUUGUUCGGAAUUACUGGGCGUAAAGCGCGCGUAGGCGGCCUUGUAAGUUAGAGGUGAAAGCCCGGAGCUCAACUCCGGAACUGCCUUUAAAACUGCAUCGCUUGAAUCCAGGAGAGGUGAGUGGAAUUCCGAGUGUAGAGGUGAAAUUCGUAGAUAUUCGGAAGAACACCAGUGGCGAAGGCGGCUCACUGGACUGGUAUUGACGCUGAGGUGCGAAAGCGUGGGGAGCAAACAGG
rnacentral:rRNA from 1 species